GUAGAGGGUGGAGGAGGAAAUCCCUGGAAAAGGACUAUCAUUGCAUUGGUUUUAAAAGAAGGAAAUCAAUUUGGAAAAAUGAAGAUGUGGAUAGGAAAGGGAUGGGCGUGAGGCCAUCUGGCUCUGCCUCCAACCCACUGGGCUGACCUCCCUUAUCAAUCCUCCAUGCGCCAAGCGCUGGAAAACCCAGCGCACAUCCCACACCUUCCCAGCUCUGCAGUUCCAACGCUGAAAUCUUGGACAAGAAGGAAUAAGAGCAGGUGUGGGAGGCCCUCAUCAUGUCUUCGAGGAGGUCCCCAGGUCACCAUGCUGACUCUGGUCUCUGAAGAGCAUCAAGAAGGACUUGUGAGGACCACCAAAACUCUACGAGACUUCUAGCCAAUAUCCUCAGUGCCCUUCUGCUCCCGUGACCCCAAAAGCAGGCAAGGAAACCCUCUGUUUUGGUGCUAUCUCUGCAACUCCUCUUCCCUCUUACAUAUUUCCUCAAACUCUCUUGACCCAAAGUCUACUGAAAUUCAUCAAAAGCUGCCACUUGACUCUAACGGACUUGGAAUGAGGCUAUAAAUUCUGGCUAUUGCAAGUGCCUCAGGUAUAUUAAACAAUGUACAACGUGGGCAUUUACACCAGCUAAGUUAAUUUAAACACAACUGUGAAUAUAAAUCAGCUACUUUCAUGUAGAAUUUCUCAGUGCCAUCAGGAGUGCUGUAUUGAAUUUAAAAAAAAUCUGACUUGUUAAUAGAAGCAAAUAAUGGCAAGCAGAUCUUACUAUUUUAUUGGGCUAGAGUUAAAUAUUUGACCAAUAAUGAAAACCUAUUUCUAACUGAUUUCUCUCCUUCCUCCACAUUUUGUUUCUUUAAAGGACAUAUGCACAUGUGUUUUCAGUAUUUGCUUUCGCUUAAGUUGUGCCUUUGGUUGGGUUUGUCAGUGGUUAGAACAGGGUGAGCUGAUGAAGAAUUAUGUUUUUUUUAUUUCCAGUAGUUACUGUCUCUGUAGAGAGUCGUCCUAUGCUGGCAAUUACUUAUUCUUUGGUCUGUCAUUGCUUUGGGCAGAUGAUCCUUGGGCUAAGAUGUCUAGUGUUGUAUGAAAAUGGGAGAAAAAAAAAGCUGGAGCCUUCUUUUAAAGGGCUUGGUCCUCAGUUAGAGAAGGGCAUUGCAGAUGCUUCUUCAUUUGCUGGUGGAAGAAUCCAACAGUGCUAUUGCUUAGGAGAAGAAAAGCAAAACGCAGGGACUCCAAAUCUCUGCA